AAGAUCCUUAAAGCUUGGUGCCCUAAACCUUAAUUGGUUGGGAGUCAUCGAUGGACCCCCAUUACAUGGACAAGUCAGAAAGAAUACCCCAUAAAGCUACCUUGAAAAAAAAAAAGAAAAAAAAAAAAGAGAAAGGUGUGUUCUUUUCUUAUUGAUUAUGGUCAGAUUAUUGCUAAAGUGUUAAAAAGAGAUAGGUUGGGGGGUGAGACUAGUUUAGCAUAUUAUUCUCGG
rnacentral:lncRNA from 1 species